CGCUUCCACCAUUAAACUUCCAACGCCUCCACCAACUUUCUCAGCUCAAUGUGCAAAUUCUCAGGAAAUCCAAUGAGACCACCAAGUCUCUGAUAUGUGCUCUCAAUAACAUCUCUUCGUGACCUUGCUUUGCCUCCUUACCCUUUGCUGCAGUUUCUUCAAUCUACCAUGACACCUCUACAUCUCAAUCUAAAUCCGAUGUCUCUGCGCUUCAUACUUUGCCGUCUAGGAAUGUGUGGCCAUCUUGGUACGGAAACGAAUCAGACGAGCUUGUUCCAAUUCGAUUCGAGUUCGAGUUUCCAAGUCAAGCGAACAAAGAGUAGAUUUGAAUCAUUGUUGUUGUUGUUGGUGUUUAUCACUGUCUCAGUCUUUUACUAGUAAAUGGAUGGCCAACUUGGUUUUGAAAGGUUUGUGUUGUUAAGUCCG